AUAGGCCCACCAUGGCGAUCCUAUGGGAGGUAAAAAUCCACCGAAUGGAUCCACAACAGUAUCACCAGUACGAAUCAGUUGGUAGAGAACGUAUGAGUCGGAGAAACAACCCCUGUAGUGUUGGGGACAGAAUAAACCUACUGUGAACCUGCGUGUCGUAAGAGGCGACUAAAUGGGUAGAUAAACAAAAGGAUGGUUAAAGUGGAAAUAAUAACCACCUAUGGCGUAAGGAAGGUUAAAGCAGACAUCGCCAUAGCGAUUGGACUGUCAAGAGAAAAAACUCUGCCUUUUUCCUCUCACGAGAGUGCCGCGAAAAGAAAAAGAAAAUAUAUACGGUGCGAUGCCGCCACAGAAGAAAUACAUGUGGUGCGAUGCCGCCACAGAGGAAAAUAUAUGCGGUGAGAUGUUGCCACAGAGGAAAAUAUAUAAAUAGAAAAGAACUAGAGGAACAUAUAUGAAUAAUUAAAGAAAUAAGAACAAAUGGAGGAAAUUAAUAGAAAUAGUAGACGAGAAGACAUUGGAAAUAAAGAAACUUUUUAAAAUAAAUAUAGUGGCACGAACGAACACACUCUGUCGUACCUGUUCCCAUAUACUAUAUGUAGGGAUUAAAGAAAGUACCCAUGUGUACUAACGCAGAUCUGCCACAAAAAAAAAAAAGGAAUGAAUUAGGAGAAAUAAGUAAGUAGAAGUUAUAAGAGAAAAAUAGAGUAGAAACUGAGACAAUAAAUA
rnacentral:lncRNA from 1 species